AGCCAUGAGGAUAUUAAUCUCAAUUCAGUCCGAAAUGAAAUUCUCGAAUGGGGAUCCCAUUUAUCCCCGGUUUCCAUUUUGGGUUGUUAAAAUUAUUUAUCUAUUUUUUAUUUUUUUAUGGGUUUUUUAAAAUAUAAAAUAACAUAUCCUAAAGUUGCCAGAAAAUUGAAAAAGGGAACGCAUCUGCUUCCUCCUUAUCUUUCCUUCAUUACUACUGGAUAGACAGCAGAGACAGAGGUUUCGAUGGAGAGAAUGCGAACAUAAACAAAUUUAACAAUCUUAUAAAGGAAGUUUGAGGGAUCAGGCCUCACCUAAUAAUACUUAUUAAGGUGAAAGGGUGAAGACAUGAAUGCAUUCAAUGCUUUGAAAGCCCAAGUUUUACAUAUAACCUUGGUGAGGGGCAUUCCAGGAACUAGGAGACUUCACAGGCGUGCCUUAGAGGCAUCAACUCUUGGAAAGUGCAUCCACACUUUCAUGCACAGUCAGGGAUGAUCCAGCAGGUGAAGAGGUUAGUUGUGGUUGAGAUGGAAGAGACGUACAAGGCCCAUAAACAAAAAUGUGUUAAACCACCAGGCUGUUCUUGCCGCAUUGGUCGUGGACCACUUGCCUGCCUCUGCAAGCGCUUCCUCUUAGAGCUGGCGUUCUUCUAAUGCAAAUCUUUUGAGCUUUCCUUGGCCUGUCUAGUGGGGCAGCGGAUUAUAUAUCUCUUUUAUGUGGCGUUUACCAAGGAACAAGAAUUUCCAACGCAGCAAUGUCAUUCGCAUUUUUUGGAGCUUUGUAACUUGACAGUUGGUUUUGAAUGCUUUAAUCAGACAUUGAUGCCCAGUCUUAAUUUGGCUGUGAAAUCUUAAUUUACAAGAGGAAAAUCGUCUCAAUUUCUCUCGUUUUUGGUGACUGCUCUGAAGAAUGUGAAUGUCAUCCCCUUUAUAAAUUGCAAGGGCUUGUUGCAAUGUUUAUUUAAUACAUGAAGGGUAAAUUUUCUGCAACUUAUGAUUUCUAUAUAAACCAUUCCCAUUUUUCUUCAAACAACUUGGUCUUUAACUUUCUGUUUAGAACAUAGGGAAAGUGUGGCACAUGCUGCUGGUCUUCCAGUAUUGGAUUCUCAUUUUACAUGCUUCAAUUAUCUGAUUUUACUAUUCUAUUAAUCUGAGAAUUGAAAAAAAAAUUUGAAAUUGUGCAUCUGAUAGAAAAAUUGGAAAGCUAUGUAGUGUGGGACUGAGACUUGCAAUGUUAAUAUGCAGUGGUUUGAAUAUAAUGAAUUUGUGUGUACGUAAUGGUCUGUUGUUGGAUUGUGUUCUUGAAUGGUUUGUCACACACGCACAAAGAGGAUGUAAAGUUAAGGAGGCAAGUAAGGGGGUCCCCUAAUGCUGGGUUAUCUCUUCUACCUGGUAGCUUUGAUAAUGAAAACUUCAUAUACAUAUAAACCAUCUCUAUAAGGUUAGAUUUCACCGAUGGAGUAUUGUUAGAUGAGAAGGCAAUUACUACUUCAAUAUCAUACGAUCUUUCAUGCACCUGAUAUGGUAUUUGAUCCCAACUAUGCAUUCUGCAGUCCAGCUUCAGUGCCCUCCAAGGCCUAAGCAGAGGACUCCUGAGCUGUUUUUCAGAGCAAUGCCAUGUAUCUUUAAUGUCAUUUUCACAUUCUUUUUUCUUCUGUAACAGCUACCAAGCCAGUUGAUUGUUUAUUGAUUUUUAGUAAGAGAUGGAUUAUUAGGAUUUUGAAAAAUUGCAAGUAGUUGAUUAACUUUCACAAACAUGGUAGGAGUCAAGCUAUACAGUGUGCAUCACUUCAUGAACUCCUUUUCCCCCU